rfam:Procavia capensis cont1.105887, whole genome shotgun sequence.
AAGCUCUGCGGACUGCUCUUUGCUAGAAGUAAUUUUGGAAAUUUAAAUUAUUUUUUCUGCAGAGACCUAGUGGGCCAAUAUACUACCGGACAGGUUAUCCCGUCUCUCUCGCUAGAUUGAUGAGAUCAGGCAUC